UGGUGCCGGGCUGACUCCUCCUAUUCAGACACGUGUGUUUGUUUACAACCUAUGGAGCACGAAAUGCAAAGAGGAGCAACGUCGACCGACAAGCUUUGUACAUAGACGAGUUGCAUCAAGUCCAGGCAAGGGACACGCAGAAAUUCUACCCCUGUCGUUGUCCAGCGUGACAGUCUGACCGUCAACGCAUGCAUUUCCUGAAAAUUACUGCUGAGGAGCAGCAUGAGUCUCCAGAUGAGGAGGAGAUCAAUUAUUUGAGAAA